GAUUAACGCUAGCGGCAGGCCUAAUACAUGCAAGUUGAACGGCAGCACAGGUAGCAAUACUGGGUGGCGAGUGGCGCACGGGUGCGUAACACGUAUGCAACCUACCCUAUACAGGCGAAUAACCUUUAGAAAUGAGGGCUAUUAUGCCGUAGUAUUACAGAUGGGCAUCUAUUUGUAAUUAAAGAUUUAUCGGUAUAGGAUGGGCAUGCGUCCCAUUAGUUCGUUGGUAAGGUAACGGCUUACCAAGUCGAUGAUGGGUAGGGGAUCUGAGAGGACUUACCCCCACACUGGUACUGCGACACGGACCAGACUCCUACGGGGGGCAGCAGUAAGGAAUAUUGGGCGAUGGCGGCGAGGCUGACCCAGCCAUGCCGCGUGCAGGAAGACGGCCUUAUGGGUUGUAAACUGCUUGUAUACGGGAAUAAUAGAGUGUACGCGUACAUUUAUGCAAGUAUCGUAUGAAUAAGCAUCGGCUAACUCCGUG
rnacentral:rRNA from 1 species